CGUGCUCGAUUUGUUGCGGGCAGAUGAAAUGGAUAUGCGUGUCGAUCCCGCCGGCGGUAAUGAUGCAGCCUUCGCCCGCGAUCACUUCCGUCGCCGCGCCGAUGACGAGUCCGUGGGUAAUGCCCUGUUGAAUGCCGGGAUUGCCCGCAUGCCCGAGCCCUACGAUGCGUCCGUGUUUGAUGCCGAUGUCUGCCUUGAUCACGCCCUGCACGGCGUCGAGUACCAGCGCAUUGGUGAUGACCAGGUCGAGCGCUUCCGCAUCCCUGGCCGUGGGCGAUUGCCCCAUGCCAUCGCGGAUG
rnacentral:sRNA from 1 species